rnacentral:SRP_RNA from 1 species
GCCAGGCUUGGUGGCGUGUGCCUGUAGUCCCAGCUACUCAGGAGGCUGAGGCUGGAGGAUCUCUUGAGCCCAGGAGUUCUGGGCUGUAGUGUGCUAUGCUGAUCCGGUGUCUGCACUAAGUUCGGCAUCAAUAUGGUGACCUCCCAGGAGUGGGGGACCACCAGGUUACCUAAGGAGGGGUGAACCGGCCCAGGUCGGAAACGGAGCAGGUCAAAGCUCCUGUGCUGAUCAGUAGUGGGAUCGCGUCUGGGAAUAGCCACUGUACUCUAGCCUGGGCAGCAUAGCAAGACCCCCAUCUCU